rnacentral:sRNA from 1 species
GGUUAUUUCCUGCGCCGGAGUUGGUUGGGUCUUCAGACACCAGCUGAAUGCUUAGGGAUUCUUUCAUUUCCUAAAGUGCUUACAAAAUUAUGAAAAAGCACGACUUUGCUGAAAACCUGCCUUCAUCUUUACUAAUCAUCAUACUAGUCAUCUUUACUCUCAGUGGCUCAAAAUUUGGGCGGGGAACUGGACUCACUCAGCCUUCUCAACGCACGUCUGCUCGGAGAUCAUUUGGGAGAUCCAAGAGAUUCAGUAUCACUCGCUCCCUUGAUGAUCUUGAGUCUGCAACUGUGUCUGAUGGCGAGUUGACGGGCGCCGACCUGAAGGACUGCGUCAGCAACAACAGCCUGAGCAGCAAUGCCAGCCUCCCCAGCGUGCAGAGCUGCCGGCGCCUGCGUGAGAGGAGGGUCGCCAGCUGGGCCGUGUCCUUUGAGCGCCUGCUGCAGGACCCCGUCGGUGUCCGCUACUUCUCUGAUUUUCUAAGGAAAGAAUUCAGUGAAGAAAACAUUUUAUUCUGGCAGGCCUGUGAAUAUUUUAAUCAUGUUCCUGCACAUGACAAAAAGGAGCUUUCCUACAGGGCCCGGGAGAUUUUCAGUAAGUUUCUCUGCAGCAAAGCCACCACCCCGGUCAACAUCGACAGCCAGGCCCAGCUAGCAGACGAUGUGCUCCGCGCACCUCACCCAGAUAUGUUCAAGGAGCAGCAGCUCCAG